rnacentral:rRNA from 1 species
AUGCGUGUGUGUGUGUGUGUGGAGUUUCACCAUGACCGUGUAGUGUGUGUUCUUGAGAGAGACAAAGAGAGAUGGAGAUUGAGUUGUGAGAGGCAGCUCAGGAGGAAGAAGAAGCGGUGCUGCAAGGAGAGAUGGCGCCAACACGGGGGUUGUCGCAUUGGUUUUGCAUGGAAUAGGAAAUUACUCGGCGGGCCAUGGGAUGUCGAAUCUCCUGCCCAUUCUGAAGGCAGUGGUCGUGCGAGGCGGUGCUGGGGUUGGCGCUCAGGUUCAGGUUGUGUUUGGGUUCAGUGCAUGGAUGGAGUUGCAUGA